rnacentral:rRNA from 1 species
UACAGAGGUCUCAAGCGUUGUUCGGAUUCAUUGGGCGUAAAGGGUGCGUAGGCGGCGCGGUGAAGUACGGGUGUGGAAAUCAUUGGAGCUUAACUCCGAAACUGCAUUCGAUACUGCCGUGCUUGAGGACUGGAGAGGAGACUGGAAUUUACGGUGUAGCGGUGAAAUGCGUAGAUAUCGUAAGGAAGACCAGUGGCGAAGGCGGGUCUCUGGACAGUUCCUGACGCUGGAGGCGACGAAAGCCGUGGGGAGCAAACAGG